rnacentral:rRNA from 1 species
CCUACGGGCGGCAGCAGUGAGGAAUAUUGGUCAAUGGACGAGAGUCUGAACCAGCCAAGUAGCGUGAAGGAUGACUGCCCUAUGGGUUGUAAACUUCUUUUAUAUGGGAAUAAAACGUUCCACGUGUGGGAUUUUGUAUGUACCUUAUGAAUAAGGAUCGGCUAACUCCGUGCCAGCAGCCGCGGUAAUACGGAGGAUCCGAGCGUUAUCCGGAUUUAUUGGGUUUAAAGGGAGCGUAGGUGGAUUGUUAAGUCAGUUGUGAAAGUUUGCGGCUCAACCGUAAAAUUGCAGUUGAAACUGGCAGUCUUGAGUACAGUAGAGGUGGGCGGAAUUCGUGGUGUAGCGGUGAAAUGCUUAGAUAUCGCGAAGAACUCCGAUUGCGAAGGCAGUUCACUGGACUGCAACUGACACUGAGGCUCGAAAGUGUGGGUAUCAAACAGGAUUAGAUACCCUAGUAGUC